rnacentral:rRNA from 1 species
UACAGAGGUCUCAAGCGUUGUUCGGAUUCAUUGGGCGUAAAGGGUGUGUAGGUGGCGCCGUAAGUCGGGUGUGAAAUCUCGGAGCUUAACUCCGAAACUGCAUUCGAUACUGGCGUGCUUGAGGACUGGAGAGGAGACUGGAAUUCAUGGUGUAGCAGUGAAAUGCGUAGAGAUCAUGAGGAAGACCAGUGGCGAAGGCGGGUCUCUGGACAGUUCCUGACACUGAGACACGAAGGCCAGGGGAGCAAACGGG